rnacentral:misc_RNA from 1 species
GAACUGCGAUAAGUAAUGUGAAUUGCAGAAUUCAGUGAAUCAUCGAGUCUUUGAACGCACAUUGCGCCCCCUGGCAUUCCGGGGGGCAUGCCUGUCCGAGCGUCAUUGCUGCCCUUCAAGUCCGGCUUGUGUGUUGGGUCGUCGUCCCCUCCGGGGGACGGGCCCGAAAGGCAGCGGCGGCACCGCGUCCGGUCCUCGAGCGUAUGGGGCUUUGUCACCCGCUCGAUAAGGACCGGCCGGGCGCCAGCCGGCGUCUCCAACCUUUUUUUCUCAGGUUGACCUCGGAUCAGGUAGGGAUACCCGCUGAACUUAAGC